rnacentral:lncRNA from 1 species
GCAAUCAUGUAAAUACCUACUGAUACAACUAUCACGGGUAUUAGAUUUCAUACUAUGUGGUAUGACUUUUACUCAUUAUUGAAGGCAGUACAUGGACAGAUAGUGGUUCAUUUCUGUGUCAUUUAGUCUGUGGUGGAGAGUUGUGUCAUUGGCAAUCAUACCACAUCUUAUUUUUAUAUUCAUGUUUGACUUCACAUACAUUCAACAUAAAGUUAUGCAAAAAAUGUUUUAUUUUUGCAAAAAUAUAUUUUAAACAAAAGGCCUCAAAAUAAGUGCAGUGCAAAACAAAAAUAAAUAAUAUCAAAAUUACAAAAACAGGACUUCUCCCUGAGUGAAUAACAAAAAAAUUAUAGCUCCCUGCUAGUUAAUCGAACACUGCAUUGCAUUGGAUAAGGUAACAAAAAUUCUCCAUUUCAAGAGUACAAUUUGAUUCUUAUUACACAUUUGGCAGUCAGUAUCAAACAUUAAAUAUGAAUUAAUGGUCACAUUUCAUACUUAAAUCCAAGAAAUACUGAUAUCAUAUUCAGUAGAAAUCUUUAAUUUUAACACCAAGUUCUUAAUUCAAACAGACUAUAAUAACACUUUGAAAAUUAACAUUCUUUUUCUGUAACUUGUAACAUUAAAAUAAAUGAGGUAUUUCAGAGAACAAAAAUUCUGAACGACAUGAUCAAGGAAAAUCUCAUAUUCAAUUCAAUUCUCAAUUUUAUAAACAGAGUUAUCUCUCUUAGUAAUACAAACCUUUAAAGACAUAACAUACAAAAAUUAAAUUUUUCAUUCUAUAGAGUAAAACUUCAUGUUAAACUACCCAUUCUUAUAAAUAACUUAAAAUGAUCUCUACUCCUUUCUUGUUACAUUGAAAAAUAAAAUUACUGAAUUAAAAGAAAGCAACAUUAAUGUAAUAAAUCUAUGUUUAAAGCUAAAUUUCAGAAAUUUUGCAAUAAAAUCUAUAAAUAAAUGCAAUAAUUUCUUUGUAGCUUUUAUAAAAUUCUCUCUGCAUUUUUGAAAAUGCAAUUUAACAUAUAUUCCUAUAUUUAAAAUGUUCUUAACUAUAUAAAGAAAAUUCUAUGUUAAAAGAAGAAUAUUUGAGAACUAUAGCAAAUUUUAAAUGACAGUGAAAGACAAAAAUAGAAUAAAAUGUCAUUUAAAGAAAAUAUAAAAAGAUCCAGCAUUCAAAAUUUCAUGAGCCCCAUACUUCGGGCCUAAAACCUCAUUAGACUUGCACAAGAAUAUUAUUAAGUUUUUUUGUAUUCAUUGAUUGCAUAGCCAGUUCCUUGAAAUAAAAAUACUUUUGAAUACUGUAUAGAUAAAUAAAUAUAUAAAAUAUUGCAUAUGACAAAAGUUUGUUAAAAUACUGACUGGGAAAAUUUCAAGUCAACAGAAGGCAAAAAUAUAUUUUGUUUUCAAACUUUGAUCUAUUGCCAAUAUUUCCAUUUAUCAUGCCUUAAGUAUCAUAAUAAAUUUUAUUAAUUUUGUGAACUUUGUCAUAUGCAAAUUCUUUUUAUUUAAAUAGGAUAAAAUCUAGAUUACAGAAAAGAGAAAAUUAAAAAAAAACUAUUAGAGUAACAUUUUCAGAUAAUCACAGUAAAAAGUAAACACAUGAAAUAAAAGGCUUAAAGAACCUAGUCAAAAUCCCUAAAAAUGAAACAAGUCUAGAUUUUAUUAAAACGAUACAUGUCGCGUCAUCAUGAACCAAUUGAAAAAAAAGGAUUGAUAUUUCAGGUUAAAAUGGCAAGUUGAGUUUCUUUUCCUUAUCAGGAUAGCUAGUUUUGAUUGGUUGAGGAAACUGGAGUCUCCAACUCUUAACUGCAUCAAUUGACAGUCAAUUAAUUCAAUGAUACAAAGAACCAAUUGCAUAUUUCAUUACUCUUAGUUUUUUUUGGACAGUGAAUUGACCAGAAUAUUUGAAAAAUGCAACAGGGACCUUGUGGUCUUUUUGAGCAUUUAUAAGGGCCCUUAACAUGCCAAACAGUCCAGAAAAAGAAUAAUUCUAAUGAAGGCCAACAUUUGGCCCAAUUAAGUUUAAAUGGUCAAUUGCAAAUUUCCACAAUGUUUUCAGAAAUAAAUAAAGUAUUUAAAAAAUCUAGACUUGUCCAUAUACAGCACAUUCUUAAUAAAAUAUUCAAUUUGAAUAAAUUUGACAUAAAUUACAUGUGCAUUUUUUCUGAAUUCCAGGGAGCGUCAAGAACAGCAAAAAACAUACACCAUUAAAUGGUAUUUUAAAAAUCAAGUCAGGUCGUCUGAUCCAAAAAUAUUCAUAUAUUUAUAUACAUACAAAUAUAUCAAAAAAAAAAAUUGGUGCUCCGAGACCAAAUUUGUUAUAAAAUACAAAACACAACACAACAUUAACAAUAAAAAAAAAACAGCACUUUUUUCAAAAUUUUUAUAUAUUUUUUUGUUUACUAACCCAUUCUGAACGUUCACAUCAUAAACAGUUCAAACAUAUGUAGAAAAAUCAGAAAUCUUCAUAUGUACACGUAAAUGACAAAAUAUGGAUCAUCUCAAAUAUGCCACAAUUAUCAAUAAACUAGUUUGUAAUGUCAGCUGUUGGUACUCUGCUAGGUUUUUUUCUCAAGAGAACAAGUUAUGUAUUUGGUAAAUAUUUCUUGCAUAUUCUUAAAAUUGCAUCUUACACAUACAAUAAAAUAUGUACAUCUAUUUAAAUGAAGACAAAUCCGACAAAUAGCUAUUUCUAAAACUCAUAUUUUUCUUUCUUUAAAAAUUUAACAGCUAUAUUUCCCUAUAAUUUCAUACUUUAAAAACGUUAUUAGUACUUUCUUUAAUAAAAAAAUUUUGUUUAAUGAUCCACAUUAAAUUUUCUCUUGUUUUGUUACUAUACUAAAACAAGAGCCAUAUAUUCUGA